AUUGAACGCUGGCGGCAUGCCUUACACAUGCAAGUCGAACGGCAGCACGGGUGCUUGCACCUGGUGGCGAGUGGCGAACGGGUGAGUAAUACAUCGGAACAUAUCCUGUAGUGGGGGAUAGCCCGGCGAAAGCCGGAUUAAUACCGCAUACGAUCUACGGAUGAAAGCGGGGGACCUUCGGGCCUCGCGCUAUAGGGUUGGCCGAUGGCUGAUUAGCUAGUUGGUGGGGUAAAGGCCUACCAAGGCGACGAUCAGUAGCUGGUCUGAGAGGACGACCAGCCACACUGGGACUGAGACACGGCCCAGACUCCUACGGGAGGCAGCAGUGGGGAAUUUUGGACAAUGGGCGAAAGCCUGAUCCAGCAAUGCCGCGUGUGUGAAGAAGGCCUUCGGGUUGUAAAGCACUUUUGUCCGGAAAGAAAUCCUUGGCCCUAAUACGGUCGGGGGAUGACGGUACCGGAAGAAUAAGCACCGGCUAACUACGU
rnacentral:rRNA from 1 species